UGCUAAUGAGGUGGGAGUAGCUUCCCUUGGGACCCUCCCUCUUUAGCCUGGCAGAUACAUGUGAGUAGCGCCCCUUGCAGAGGGCUCUCUCCUGUCCCUUGCUAGCCCUGUUCCGUGGCCAUGGUUUCCAGGCUCAUUCUUUGCUCCGCUCCAUCACUGGGACCUGUGCCCCCUGGGCUGUGGCUGGUGCUGUCGCUGGGCUGUAUGCUCAUCUCCUGCAGGGAGAUGUUUCUGUGACAUGCACUGCUGCUCCUGGAGGAGGACAGGGCUCUUCAGGAAGGGUUUUGGUGCCAGAGCUGGGCAGACAGUCUGCAGAGCCCUGUGGCAAAGCUUGCUGGAGCUCUGCUCGUUGUUGAACCCCAAGGCAAGGGUGUCCUGGCAGGUCUCAGCUACUGCUCAGGCUGCAUUGCAGAGCUAUAACAUCAAGGGGUACACAUGGGCGAGGGACCCCUCACAGUGAAAUCACCUUGGGAGUGCACAGCCCUCGUCACCUCUCCAUCUCCACGUCCCAGCUGCACGGGCACAGCAAAUGAGUCUCUGGAGGCCUGUUCUCGCACUGCAGGAUGGCAGAAAACUUUCAUUGAAGUCAAUAGAAGUUACUCGUACCCUUAGGCAGAAGGCUGUGGUCCCAGGAAGCUGCUAGGGAGCUGUGAUUUAUGCUGUGUGUCGCAGGCUCGACCAAAGCCAGCGCCUGCCUCUUGGUAUAAUUCAAAACUAAAUGCACAUUUAUGUUUAAAAAGCCCUCAGUAA